rfam:Pseudomonas stutzeri A1501, complete genome.
ACAACAACAAUAACAAGCAGAUCCCACAAUAAGAACAAGACGUAACGGCUCCAGCAAAACAACGACAAGAAGGCGGAGGCGCAGCUAACUGAUUCUUUUGGAGAGGACAUGCCACGGGGUUCGCCCCACGACCAGGCCGAGAACAACAAAAACUGCAUCGAGCAGGCCCUGCACUGGUUGGAUCGAAGAUCAAGGCAACGUCAGCGACCAAAGAAAUCCGUUUGCUAUUGGCUCCCACUGUGGGAGCGUUCCCGACGGCCACGGCCCGAAGGACAGGCGAACAACAAGAACAGCAACGCCUGAGAAGACCAAUAACAAUAAAUAAGCACGCGACAUUAUUCAGAGGGGAGCUUCGGCUCCCCUCAGUGCUAUCUGGCUCCGCGGUUUCCUUCCGCAC